rnacentral:lncRNA from 1 species
AUGGCAGGUAGUGUGACAUUGGACUUGUUUUACAUCCUGUCUGGGCCCUUUGCCAUCCUACACCUGCCUGUCCAAAUCUCACAAAGCCUUCAACAUCUACAGUUGGAAAGGGUUUUAAAUAAUCGCUUGGCACCGUCUCACUUUACUCCCAAGGCAGCUAAGGUCGGGGUAUCUGGGUUUGUUCACCAUUACCUGACAAAGGACUGGCCGAGCGGGCACACUGAAUGCAGGGCUUCUGGUUUCCAGUCCCGUGUCCUUCCCACUGUCACUAUUUUGAGUCUCCCAGGCCUGAGCCCCUAUUGUCCUGUUAAUCAACGCCACACACUAUUGAACUCUUCAUUGUUUCCUGUGUUGAUCUUGUCUCCUCUAAUUGUGACAUUCUUGAGAGCGGGAGCCACUGUUUUAUGCAAACGGAGUCCAUCAAUAUUUGCUGAUGAAGGAAGAAACCACUGGGGGGAUGCUUCCUGGUCAUUUCCAAGAUGGAAACCAGCCUUGCGGAAAUGCAGAGUCCCCAGAGUGCUGGAAGGUGACAGGAAGGCUGACGAGUGUCCCGUGGCAAUGCUGGUCUCGCAGGAGGAGCUGCAGCCACCUCAGCAGGGCUGCGGACAAUCAAGUCCAGGUGGCGGCCCUGCCCGGGCAGCAAGGGGGCAGAGACAGAGCCGCGGGCUCACCAGGGACCUCUGCAAGAGCUGUGUGGAAAGGUGCGGGGGUCGGGGGGGGGGGCGUGCGGGGAGCUGGGAAGCAAAAGUUACCCAAGAUGUGCUGACCCAAUCGGGGCUCCUAAAAAGGUUUAUAUGGAAACCACUUCUCCUGCUCUCCCAUAUUGAAAACCCUGUCCAAAAUUCAUUUCCCAAGUACAACUGGGCAUGCAUUCGAUUCCUUAAGGAGUUCAUGGGGAACGAAGCCUCGGCUCUUUUCUUCCCCCAUGCAAAAAGCACGCUGGAUCCAGGCUUUCUCCUUUUUUUUUUUUUUCUCUUUUCCCCUGUUGCUCAAAUAAAUAGUGUUCUUUGCUCAAACCCCCUUCCCCUCCUCCUCUUGCAAUCUCAGCGCCUAGCCCAAAUCUGUUUUCUUCAUUGUAACCUCAGCUUCACCGCAAUUAAUUUUUUUUCCCUCUGGUCACAAGAUAAUUCCUGA